rnacentral:rRNA from 1 species
UCGAGGAUCUUCGGCAAUGGGCGCAAGCCUGACCGAGCGACGCCGCGUGUGCGACGAAGGCCUUCGGGUUGUAAAGCACUGUCGAGGGGGAGGAAAGCCGAAAGGUCUGACCUAUCCCUGGAGGAAGCACGGGCUAAGUUCGUGCCAGCAGCCGCGGUAAGACGAACCGUGCGAACGUUGUUCGGAAUCACUGGGCUUAAAGGGCGCGUAGGCGGGCGAUCAAGUCAGGGGUGAAAUCCUCCAGCUUAACUGGAGAACUGCCUCUGAUACUGGUCAUCUUGAGUGAGGUAGGGGCGUGCGGAACUGAUGGUGGAGCGGUGAAAUGUGUUGAUAUCAUCAGGAACUCCGGUGGCGAAAGCGGCGCGCUGGACCUUAACUGACGCUGAGGCGCGAAAGCCAGGGGAGCGAACGGGAUUAGAUACCCGGGUAGUCC